GCGCUUCCCCUGUGGCUGGCUCUUGGGGGUAAAGGCGAGGACCCUAGCCGCCACAGCUUUCCUGUACGCACGCGCGAUGCGUCUCGCCGCCGCCGCCGCCGUCCUCCGCCCCGUGCUCUGCCUCCUCCCCUUUAGUCGCCCACCCGCCACGCCGCCUUCUCCUCUACCGUUCCUCUCCCUUCGCCGUGCUCGGGAGGAGAGCGACAGGCGGACUGGUGCAUCCCCAACGACGGGAGAAGCACAGGAACCGCCGCCUCCGGCGAGGCGCUCCUGCGCGACCAGUUCAAGACGAUCCUGCAGAAGGUCGACGAGAAGGGCGCGCCGCCACCGUCAGCAGGCCGGUCAGCAUCCACGCGCUACUCGGCGUCGUGAGGUCGCCGGCACAGCUCCUCGCGCCCACGCCGUUCAAACAUGCCACGACCUGCCCUUCUCCGGUGCACUUGGCAGCCGCAGAUGCUCCACCUCCUCCGCCUCAGCCCUCAACUCGUCGGGUGGCCUGAGGGGAGCGAUGCCUAGGCCGUUCUCUUCCUCACCACGCGGCGCCGGGAGGAUCCACAAGAGGGGGAGCGGCAACAAAUCGCGACGGAGGAGCAUGGGCUGCAAAUUCGUAUGAAGAUGGCGAACCGUUUGUGUUGCCAGGAGAUGGAUGCCGUCUCACCCUCCAUGGCGCUCAAUAGGAGGAGCAGGAGGUGUCAUCGGACAGAUUUGUGAGUUUGGUGCUAGACAUGGGACGUGCUUGGUCGUGUCCUUUCUUCGACUAGGCACCUUGGCGACCACUUGAGCAGCAGUGCAGCACCGUGCUCCAGUGAUCAGACUCCCCUUACAUGAUUCAUAUUUUUCUAUCAGCUUUUACUAUAUAUGUUCUUCAGUGGAUCAGCUGCAUCAGACUGUAGGCACUGCUGAGCGCAAAGCUGUACAUACCUGUGCAUAAAUGUUUUUGUCCGUGCAACCACGAAACAAAAAAGUCAAUCUUGAUUGUUUUUAAUUAGUAUUAUAUAUGUAUCUAAAUUUUGUAAUAUUUUCGUCACUUUUCGCUGGUUGGUGAUACACUUUGUUCAUGUUACCGGUGGAAAUAGGAAUGGUUUUCUUACUGUAUUGACAGAGCAAAGAAUUUUGCCUGUGAAUCUCAUAUUGUUGGAAGGGUCCUACAAGUGAUGAAUUGUCUAUUUGCCAGUUGCCACAUUGAUGCCCCAGGUAUGUCCCAAGUGAACUGGGUUAUUGCGACGAUUUGGUCGAUUCAGUCUUCUUUUUAUCUUGAAUGGCUUUCACCUUUGGGAAAUUCAAGUGAUGGAAGUGUUUCAGUGAUAUUGAAGCUCUUUUAGAUACUACUACGAUACUAUGGCAGCCAAGGUCUUACUAACUCCCCACUGGAUUUCAUCCACGGAUGAAAAUAGAUGGUCACAAUAGAAGGCAGGGCACAUCUGAGAGCCGAAACUCCCCACAGUAGUUCUGCUGCUUGCAUUGUGCUUGGGUUCAAAUAUUUCACCUGGAAGUUCCGUGCAGCUAUAGAAUUAUUUAGAGUGUUCUUCGGCUGAAAUUAGGUUGCUCCUGCCAUGUCUAUCAGUGAAAUGCCUCCUUCCAUGAUAAAGCAGCCUACUCUUAGCAUUAUGCAGAACAAUUAUUAUGCGUCCAUCAAUGAUAACAGUGAUACCUGAUUGAAGAUUAGGUGGUCUACAAUCCUCCAGCUCUCCAAAACUAUAUCUCAAGCCCAUCAACUCCGAAAAUUAAAGGUCGCCACCAUGCCGUCUCUCUCUCUGGCCGCCCUUCACAUCGUCUUGGUUUGCUGGUUGCCACUAUGUCUCCUGCCGUUUCGCCCGCCGCCAUCGCUGGAAGGGUUGUGUAGGCCGUCGCCUAUGCCACUACUAUGCAGUGACCAGUGAGGGCCAUGGCAUCGAGACAGACCAAAAGGGAAACACCACCGGCCACAGCGCCGGUAGAGGCCUCCCUGUCUGCGCCGGUGACUGGAUAACAUCGCCGCCGCCACUGUCGUUGUCUUUGUUGCUUCUCAGCAGGCAUUUGAUUAACUCAAAGGCAACAGGAAGGCACGACGGUGAUCAAGGUUAUGUACGCCGAGUAGUGUCUUUUGUCUACCAUACCGUAUGAAAAUAGAUCAAGAUGAGCCAACUUAGUCACGUACUAUGUUUCUAUAAGGGGAACAUAUCUGGUCUAUAUCCGAAUCUAUGAACUAUUAUAUGGAUGAUGUCGAGUUAUGUCUAUAUAGUCAUAUGCUUAUAUAAGCUCAAUGUAUCCUUUGUACUGUUCUUCUUUGACUUGGCACUUCUGUUCAUUUUCAGAUAAAUUUUCAUGUGACUACCAAUGUCAUAAACCAGAAUUCUCUUUC